rnacentral:RNase_P_RNA from 1 species
GAGAGAUAGAUAGCUCGUUAACGCUCCGAGUUGGAGAAACUCGGAGUGAGGAAACACCGCACACUCCGCAGACACCGCGGCUCCGAAAGGAGCACGGGUAGGACCCGUGGCUACGGUACAGAAAUGACACGGCCACUACUUAGAUGGCGAUGAUGCGGCGUGGAAUCCCCGGUAACGGGGGUUCGGUAACCCGUUGAGGACGGUAGUGGAUGCGUUGAAACAACCGUCCCGCGGAGUGAAAGGCUUAAUCCCGGUGAUGAGGGUCUGCGCGAAACCGGGGGUUGCCGCAUAGUCGGAUACGAGCUUGAAACUGAAUGCGGGUUAUUAUCUAUCUCUC